GAUGAACGCUAGCUACAGGCUUAACACAUGCAAGUCGAACGGUAGCACAGAGAGCUUGCUCUCGGGUGACGAGUGGCGGACGGGUGAGUAACGUCUGGGAAACUGCCCGAUGGAGGGGGAUAACUACUGGAAACGGUAGCUAAUACCGCAUAACGUCGCAAGAACAAAGUGGGGGACCUUCGGGCCUCACACCAUCGGAUGUGCCCAGAUGGGAUUAGCUAGUAGGUGGGGUAAUGGCUCACCUAGGCGACGAUCCCUAGCUGGUCUGAGAGGAUGACCAGCCACACUGGAACUGAGACACGGUCCAGACUCCUACGGGAGGCAGCAGUGGGGAAUAUUGCACAAUGGGCGCAAGCCUGAUGCAGCCAUGCCGCGUGUAUGAAGAAGGCCUUCGGGUUGUAAAGUACUUUCAGCGGGGAGGAAGGCGGUGAAGUUAAUAACUUCACCGAUUGACGUUACCCGCAGAAGAAGCACCGGCUAACUCCGUGCCAGCAGCCGCAGUAA
rnacentral:rRNA from 1 species